GACGAACGCUGGCGGCGUGCUUAACACAUGCAAGUCGAACGAAGUGGCGAACGGGUGAGUAAUACGUGGGUAACCUGCCCUCCUUUUUGGGAUAAGACUUGGAAACGGGGUCUAAUACCACAUAAAGGGGGAUGGUCUCGCGGCAUAUCAGCUUGUUGGUGGGGUGAUGGCCAACCCAGGCGGUGACGGGUAGCCGGCCUGCGAGGGUGACCGGCCACAUUGGCGCGGAGAUACGGCACAGACUGCUACGGGAGGGAUCAGUGGGGGAUAGGGCGAAAUGGGCGCAAGCCUGAUGCAGCGACGCCGGGUGGGGGUUGAAGGCUUUCGGUUUGUAAACAUCUUACGCUAUCGAACGGGUAUGUGGAGAAGAAGCGCCGGCUAACUACGUGCCAGCAGCCGCGGUAAUUC
rnacentral:rRNA from 1 species